rnacentral:rRNA from 1 species
UACGAAGGGGGCUAGCGUUGCUCGGAAUCACUGGGCGUAAAGGGCGCGUAGGCGGCCAUUCAAGUCGGAGGUGAAAGCCCAGGGCUCAACCCUGGAAUUGCCUUCGAUACUGUUUGGCUGAGCAGACCGGAAGAGGUAAGUGGAACUGCGAGUGUAGAGGUGAAUUCGUAGAUAUUCGCAAGAACACCAGUGGCGAAGGGCGGAGCUUACCUUGGUCCGGUUGUCGGAUGCUGAGGCG